GCGGCCCAUCAGCUAGUUGGUGAGGUAAGAGCUCACCAAGGCGAAGACGGGUAGCUGGUCUGAGAGGAUGAUCAGCCACACUGGAACUGAGACACGGUCCAGACUCCUACGGGAGGCAGCAGUGGGGAAUAUUGCGCAAUGGGCGAAAAGCCUGACGCAGCCACGCCGCGUGAGCGAUGAAGGCCUUCGGGUCGUAAAGCUCUGUGGGGAGAGAAGAAUAAAGCCUGUGAAGAAUGGGCCUUGACGGUAUCUCCUUAGCAAGCACCGGCUAACUCCGUGCCAGCAGCCGCGGUAAUACGGAGGGUGCAAACGUUGCUCGGAAUCAUUGGGCGUAAAGCGCACGUAGGCGGCGAAGCAAGUCGGGUGUGAAAGCCCUGGGCUCAACCCAGGAAGUGCAUUCGAAACUAUUUCGCUUGAAUCUCGGAGGGGGUCAGAGAAUUCCCGGUGUAGAGGUGAAAUUCGUAGAUAUCGGGAGGAAUACCAGUGGCG
rnacentral:rRNA from 1 species